GGGGGAAUAUUGCACAAUGGGCGCAAGCCUGAUGCAGCCACGCCGCGUGAACGAUGAAGGUCUUGGGAUCGUAACGUUCUGUUGCAGGGGAAGAUAAUGACGGUACCCGGAGAGGAAGCCCCGGCUAACUACGUGCCAGCAGCCGCGGUAAUACGGAGGGGGCUAGCGUUAUCCGGAUUUACUGGGCGUAAAGGGUGCGUAGGUGGUCUUUCAAGUCGGUGGUUAAAGGCUACGGCUCAACCGUAGUUAGCCUCCGAAACUGGAAGACUUGAGUGCAGGAGAGGAAAGUGGAGUUCCCAGUGUAGCGGUGAAAUGCGUAGAUAUUGUGAGGAACACCAGUAGCGAAGGCGGCUGUCUGGACUGCAACUGACACUGAGGCACGAAAGCGUGGGUAGCAAACAGG
rnacentral:rRNA from 1 species